rnacentral:rRNA from 1 species
CUUCUCGGGGGGCGACACUGGGGGAUAUUUUACACAGGGGGCAAGCGUGUUUCAUCCACAACGCGCGUGUGAAGAAAGCCCCUUGGUCGUAUAACCCAUUAAGCUCCGAGGGGAGUCAAUUUGUUUUUACCUAGAGGGAUAAGGCGUUUCCCGCAGAAUAAGCCCCGGCUAAAUUUGGUCCCGCAGCCGCCGUAAUACGGAGGGGGGCACGCUUAAUUGGAAUUUACGGGGGUAAAAGGGUGCUCGGGGGCUUUUUAAAUACGGGGGGAAAACCCCGGGCUUCACCCUGGAAAUGCCUUCUAUAAUGGCAAGCUUGGAUAUUGGAGGGGGGGGUAGAAUUCCCGCUGUAGCGGUGAAAAUCGUAGAAUUUGGGAGGAAACCCCGUGGGGAAGGCCGCUCUCUGGCCUAAUAUUGACGGUGAGGUCGGAAAACAUGGGGGGCCAACCGGAUUAGAUUCCCUGGUAGUUCCCCCCGUAAACGAAGUGUAACUAGCCGGUGGGGCCCUUGAGCCCUCAGUGGCGCAGCUAACGCGAUAAGUCUCCGCCUGGGAGACGUCGCAAGU